AAUGCCCGCAAGGGUGAUCCAGCCAUGCCGCGUGCAGGAAGACGGCCCUAUGGGUUGUAAACUGCUUUUACACCGGAGAAAACCUUCCCUCGUGAGGGGAGCUGAUAGUAUGGUGAGAAUAAGCAUCGGCUAACUUCGUGCCAGCAGCCGCGGUAAGACGAAGGAUGCAAGCGUUAUCCGGAUUCAUUGGGUUUAAAGGGAGCGUAGGUGGGUUUGUAAGUCAGUGGUGAAAGCCGGUCGCUUAACGAUCGAAUUGCCAUUGAUACUGCAGACCUUGAGUACAGAUGCUGUGGGCGGAAUAUGACAUGUAGUGGUGAAAUACAUAGAGAUGUCAUAGAACACCGAUUGCGAAGGCAGCUCACAAAACUGUAACUGACACUGAGGCUCGAAAGUGCGGGGAUCAAA
rnacentral:rRNA from 1 species